AUGGCCGUCACCGUGCCCUCCGCCGCCCGCCACCUCCUCCUCCUCGUCACCGUGACCGUCGUCUCCGUCGCGGCCGCGACGCCAUCCUCGCCGGGGCGGCCGUUCCGGACGCUGUACGCGUUCGGCGACUCGUUGACGGACACGGGCAACACGCACUCCACGACGGGGCCCUACUCCUUCGGCGUGUCCCACCCGCCGUACGGCGCCACCUUCUUCCACCGCCCCACCAACCGCUACUCCGACGGCCGCCUCGUCGUUGAGUUCCUCGCCACCGACGUCCUCGCCCUUCCCUCCUUGCUGUUGGAAUUAACCACGAUGAGUAGUCCUAGUCCGGUUUGGACAGGAGCAAGUCACCACGUAGUAUACUAG
rnacentral:rRNA from 1 species